UACGGAGGAUGCAAGCGUUAUCCGGAAUGAUUGGGCGUAAAGCGUCCGCAGGUAGCUAUGUAAGUCUGCUGUUAAAGAGUCUAGCUCAACUAGAUAAGAGCAGUGGAAACUACAAGGCUAGAGUACGUUCGGGGCAGAGGGAAUUCCUGGUGUAGCGGUGAAAUGCGUAGAGAUCAGGAAGAACACCAGUGGCGAAGGCGCUCUGCUAGGCCGUAACUGACACUGAGGGACGAAAGCUAGGGGAGCGAAUGGG
rnacentral:rRNA from 1 species